GUUAACUAUGGAGUUAUGAAUAUACCUUAUCCUUGUUCAAGAAUCCAAACACUCCUGCUGCCACCUCAGCUCCAAAGAUGAUCACCAAACAGGCAAAGAACUGCAACAGAUGCAUACAUUACGCAUCCGAAGAAACCCACCAGCAUCACCAGACUUCCUGCACCUAUCAGGAUGUACACACCUGGAAAGGCGGGGACAACACAAGCCUAAAACUGCAACCCAAAACGAUCAGGAUUCAUCGAGAUCAUCAAGGAGUUUUAAGAAGCUUCAGGUAAGACGAUUCGCAUCCCCAUAGACGCCCCGAUCGCCCAUUAAAGCUCUCAUUAUAUACAUUGUGGGUGCGGCCACCGCACAAGACUGUUUGUGUGUUGCUAAGAGACACUCCGGCAGCCGCCCGGUAACGUGGGCUCGGGUGGGAACAAAUAAGAACAAAACAGAGACGUCAUAAAUUCGGCGGGAGGUUGUUGUCCUUGAGAAGGAGGGUUAGCUUGAAAGAUAAAUAGAAGACGACUCCACACUAUACUCUCCUUUAUGGUGAUAAUUGAGUGCAAACCCGAGUGCAAUAAAUGAAUUUCCACGACAUAGAAUAUUACUUUUAUUUUUAAUAUUUUCAAUGUUGAAACAUAGAAACCUAUUAAAAAAAAACAAAACAAAAAAACAAAAAAAAAACCU